rnacentral:tRNA from 1 species
GCGCCCGUAGCUCAGCGGCAGAGCAGCCGACUCAUAAUCGGUGGGUCGCAGGUUCGAACCCUGCCGGGCGCACCA